UCCCAACAAAUCCUAAGAGGUUAAGUCUUCUCCAUUUUCUUUACUUUUCUAGCUCUCAGUCCCGACGUGGGUCAAUUGAUUCUCCUCAGCACCAACCUCUCUCCUCUUUCUCUGCCUUGGUAAGGUGAGCGUGGACCAAGCACCAAGUACAUCUUUUUACCACCUUUCGACAACAAUAAAAAGGUAAAACAUUUCUAAAAUCUCCAAUAAAUUAAAUAACUCAAAACU
rnacentral:lncRNA from 1 species